ACGGGAGGCAGCAGUGAGGAAUAUUGGUCAAUGGGCGGAAGCCUGAACCAGCCAAGUCGCGUGAAGGAAGACGGUCCUAUGGAUUGUAAACUUCUUUAGCCAGGGAGCAAUAAGCGCUAUGCAUAGCGUGAUGAGAGUACCUGGAGAAUAAGCAUCGGCUAACUCCGUGCCAGCAGCCGCGGUAAUACGGAGGAUGCGAGCGUUAUCCGGAUUUAUUGGGUUUAAAGGGUGCGCAGGCGGUCGAUUAAGUCAGUGGUUAAAUGGUGAGGCUCAACCUCAUCGCGCCAUUGAUACUGGUUGACUUGAUUUCGGUCGAGGCAGGCGGAAUUCGCCGUGUAGCGGUGAAAUGCAUAGAUAUGGCGAAGAACUCCGAUUGCGUAGGCAGCUUACCAGACCGACAAUGACGCUCAUGCACGAAAGUGCGGGGAUCGAACAGGAUUAGAUACCCUGGUA
rnacentral:rRNA from 1 species